rnacentral:rRNA from 1 species
AUGAUGGUUGAUGUUUCAACUUCUGUUUUUCUGUUGUCUAGGUUGCUGAUGAAAACAAUACACUUAUUUGUUGAUUGUAGAUGCUGCCUCUCUUGGAGGCCAAGAGCAAGGUGGAGAAACCGGAGAAGCUGGAAAUGGCGCAGCACCAGCCGUGCAGCAGCCAUCAGGGAGGAGAGUGGAGUGUACAUCGUGCACUACAUCUUGGAGUUCACCGGGCUUUACCUACGUUCAGCUCUGACUCAGGGGCAGAUUGAGCAUUUGCGGAAGAAGAUUGCCUACGAGAUAGUCACAAUGAAAGGCAACAAAGGAGAUAUCCCAGAGUUCCUGAUUGACGCGAUCGUUGACUGA